CUCGGGGAGGAGUUGAGAGGAAGCUUCAAGGACGCUGCCCACCCCGUCCUUGGACACCAGGCAACCUGACCCCAAGCACAGCUUUCUUGAGCAGCUGCUCUGUGUGAGGCUGCAGCAGGCACCGGGGAAACUGUGGGUAAUGAGGCCAGGCCUCUGCCCCGCAAAGCCCCAGCCCUGCUCUGGGGCCGCCUUGCUGUGUGCGUCCCUCUCAAGCCCAUGGCUGGGUGCCUGGAAAGAGCACUGGCCUGGACAGCAGGCAGACCUGGUGCAAAUCUCCGGCUCUGAAGACUUGGCCAGGUUGCUCUAGUUAUAGGAGCCUCAGUUUCCUAAUCUGUAAAGUGGGGAUGAUAACAGCACCAGUCACACGGGACUGUUCAUUUGGGAUAAUAACCAGUGAUGUAAAUAAAUGAAUAAUAAGAACAAGAAAACGUGACGGUUCCAGGCCCAGCUCUGUCCUGCACGGAGCGUCUGCUGUUUCCCCCUCCCCACGUCCCACCCAUAGGGCGUCCAGCCCCAGACACUCUGGGACCAAGUGGGGAGACACACGUUAUUGUCACCUCCUCUGGGACGGCAGCUCUUGGUGCUCACAGCCACUGACCUCCCUCUGGAACUGGGACCCCUUGUCAGUGUUGGCUUAGCCUGUGACUCCCUGGCCCCCAGCGGCCCCGCACCUGCGUCCCAAAUGCUGUCUAUUGGGGGAAGGGCCAGGAGAUCAACAUGGAGGGUGGAAGCGGAGCUUCCCCGAGCACCUUGGGGAUCUGGAGGUGCCUGGAGGGUGGGCCGGAUGGGGGCUGGGCGUCUCCUCUGGGGAGAGGGGAGGGCCUGCCUUCCACAUGGGGCCCACGUGGCACCUGGCACAGGGCAACGCUAAACUGAAAGACGCUGGUGGCAAAGACUUUGCAAAAACCAACCCAAGCUCACCAGGCCCUCUCCUCCAGCGACACACCUAGGGGAGCAGCAGGUGGACAUUUCGAGCCUCACCACUGGCUUCCAGGCUGGUCCUAAACAGUUAAGGAGAGAACCACGUCUCCCAGGGCAACAGAAUUCCAGCGCUAACAUUUCCGUCUGCAGAACCAGGGUUUUCCCGCCUGUGAAAUGCCUUUCUGGUCUCGGGAUGACUGCACCCUGGGAGGCCGAGGGCUCCUGGAAGACCGGCUAUGGCCCUGGAUGUUGGCCCACGAGGAACCUUGCGUCUGUCUCCACUGGCCAUAAAAAUGAGGUUCCUACAACUGCAGAGAAUGUCGGGCUCGGUGUCCUCACCUGUGGAAUGGGAUGGUGACAGGACUGGCUCUCGGGGUCACUGUGGAGCGCCAUGAAGGUGAUGCCUGGCAAGGCCCUGGCCACAGCGGUGCUCAGCAAGGAGACGCUGCAGCCGGCUCUUUUUGCAGACCUGGAAGACACGUUCGGGCAGCGUGUUAAAACCCGGCUGGAUGGGGUCAUACUGUUUCCACCUCUGGUUUGCUGUGUGACUUUGGGCUUUUACGACGACCUCCCUGGGCCAACAUGCCGGGAACUGAGGGAUCUUGUCCUCCCCUGACAGCACCUGGAGCUCCCAAGUGGCCACACUAAGGAGGGGCUGGGGCUAUGCAUCUGGAUACCCCCUCCCUUUCCCUUCACUGGUGACAUCCUGGCAAAGGAGUCUGGGGAGACAGAUCUGAGGGCGGGGGCUGUGUCUGGGGGGUCCUGUGAGUGUCUCCGUGGUGCUGGGCAUGUCACAAACAGAUGUCCCCCUCCUCUGUUCUGCAGACGCCAGCACUUCGCUCUCGGGUGGAUGCAUCCUGGGCCUCCACAUAUGCUGAGACAGCCGUGGGUCUGUGCCCAACACCCACAGACCUCCAGAAAAUGCUGAGCAGGGAGAAGGGCUGCGUGGGGAGGCAGGAGGGCUGCAGGGGCCGAGAGCUGGGGAUGCAGCCAGAACCUUGGCGGGUCCGUGGGGAGCUGGGACAGGGGGUGCAGGCGUGAGCUGAGCCCUUUCAGACCCUCCAUCUGUUGGGCCUGGUCCUGCGGAAGCUGGUCCCCAGCCUAGAGCCUUGCAAACAGGCCCAUGACACUGCCUGCGCCCUCCCUUCACAGAACUGGCCCUUGAACGAGCCAAAGACAAAGUACCGCACAGGAGGUAAUGAGGAAAGAGGAAGCAGCUCUGGGGCCCAGGGUCUUUUAUUUUGCAAGACUCCUUGCCCCAUGGGCACCAGAGCAGUCUUCUGGUGGGACUUAUCAGACACAAGGCCCUCUGGUUACUUCCAUCUGAGCUUGGAGGGGCUGGCCCCAGCUAGCAGGGUGGUGUGCCUGGAGGAGGAGAUAAGUGGGCUUUGCAUUUGGCCAGAUCUGGGUGUGCAUCCAAACUCUGGAAAGCCACUGUCACCUGACCCCUGGGUGUCUCUGUAUAGCCCACUUGCGGGGGUCAAGGAGGAUAAAGGAGACAAUGUUUGCUCAGCAGUGUGGACACAUAGUGGGUGCUUUAUCACCACCAUCCCAAACCCGGGCCCACCAAGCCCAGGGCUGCAGGGUGUAACCUCACUUCCAACAGGCAUCAAGGCCAUGACCCCAGGAAACCACCUCCACGGGCUUGGCCGCUUAGCAAGCAGGUUAGGGCUCUGAACUCUGUUCUUUUCGCAUCAGAUGAACAAGAUGUACUGCUCAGCACCGGUUCCUGGAGCGCCUAUGUCCUCGUAACCAGGACAGUGUCCCUGCCCUCAGGGGGCACCCCGGCCACUGGGGUCUGCUCUGUUCCAGACACUGGGGUGAUGGACAUCCCCCCAAUUAAUAUCUAUAUAUAAACUGAAUAGCAUAAAAAU